UUAUAGUGUAGUAUACCACAGCAUGGUAUAGUAUAGUACAGUACAUUAUAGUGUAAUACACCACAGCAUGGUAUAGUACAGUACAGUACAUUAUAGUGUAGUACUGUACAGUACAGCAUGCUAUAAUAUAGUACAGUAUAGUAGAGUACUGUAUAAUAAAGUAUAGGACAGCAUAGUAUAGGACAACAUAUAGCAUAGUAUAUUAUGGUUAGAUAAAGUAGCUAUAGUGUAGCAUGGUACAGUUCAGUAUAGUGUAGUAUAGUAUAGUACAUAAAAUAUACACAGUAUAUCAUAAUACAGUUUAGUAUAGUAUACUAUAGUAAAUAUAAUGGCCAUAUAGUACAGUAUAGAAGAGUACAGCAUGGUAUAGUAUGGUACAGUACAUUAUAGUAUAGUAUAGUAUAGUAUAAUACAGCAUUCUCAGAUCUUCACCAAAAUCACACCGUGCCUUAAAGCACUCAAGACUAACACAGUAGUGCAGUUAGUUUCAUCCCAACACACUCCAAAGUCUAGAUAUAGUGCAGUGUAUUUAAUUAUAGUGUAGUAUAUUACAAUACAGUAUAGUAGUGUAGUAAUGUAGUGUAGU
ensembl:lncRNA